rnacentral:tRNA from 1 species
GUCUGGUUGGCUCAGUUGGUUAAGCGCCUGACUUCAACUCAGGACAUGAUCUCACAGUUCAUGGGUUCGAGCCCCGCAUUAGGCU